GCAGACCAGCAGGCGGUUCUGGGGUAGCGGUAGACCCAGAGAUCUUCAGGGGCUGCCAGGCCCCUACCCCAGCAAACCCUGCUGUCUCAAGGCACAGUGGAAAACCCCGUCCUUGACCCUGGAGCUUGAAAUUGUCUCAUGGUUCAUGCUUUUUCUGCCUGAAGGGUGCAUGCUUUGCCAGCAUUUCUAUAGCACGCAGAGAGCUGCAAAUUACAAAAGUUACUUUUCUCCAGUCAAUUUAAGCCAGCCUGGCACAAGUCCCUCAUUCUCCUUUGUCAGUGAGGCAAAGAGUCAGUUGUUCACCCAGCUUUGUCUUGCAGCAAGGCAGCCCUUUCUCUGCCCUUCCUCUCUUCCUCAGAAGUCCUGAUUGUGUCUUUCAUUUGACCCUGCUCUGAAGUGCAUGGAAAAUCUUUUCACCAUCCCCUUCUGCCCAAGUGAGGCCACUCCAGCAUAGAUACAAAUAGGGACAGGGAGGGAGGAAGUAAAUUGAACAGCUUGCAAUUGGCAGCUCAUUAGUUGGGUGUUAUUUUACUGCUAGGCAAAAACGAUCAAAAUAACACCCACAGGGAGGUCUCCAAAAGCCGAGGCACUGCAGGAAAGGCUUGGUGCAGAAGGACAACGCCUGGACAUAUGUCACACACUCAGCAUUUGUGAAGGAAGAAUGUCGUUUUGAACCAUCUCUUGAGCUCCCCCUUCCAACCAAAGAGUCCUUCAAGCCCAUGUCCUUCAGCACUCUGGGCAUCACAGUCUUCGUGAUCCACAGACCCCCAGUCCAGCAUCCAGCACCCUCCCUGCUUUACCUCUGCCUCUCAGGGAUGGGCAGGCAGAACUGCCUUGGAGUUAAUCCAAGAUUUCUACCUAAAAACCACUCAAAGCAUAUUAUCCUGAAGCUUUAUAAUUCAUACAGCAGAUAAUAAAAAUGUUGAAGGAGGACUUCUCUGGUGGUAUGUGGAUAAGAAUCCAUUUCAAGAGAGAAACCAUUAAGAAAAACAUGGCAAUUGACAUAAAAAAUGUUUUAAAAAAUGAAUAAAACAAUUUUAUGUAAUAUCCAUCUGCCAAUGCAGGGGACAUGGUUCAAUACCUGGUUUGGGAAGAUUCCACAUAUCUUGGAGCAGCUAAGCCUGUGCACCACAACUACUGAGCCCACAUGCUGCAGCUACUGAGGCCCAGGCACCUAGAUGCUCAGCAACAAGAGAAGCCAUCACAAGGAAAAGCCUGUGCGCCCAAUGAAAGUAGCCCCCG
ensembl:lncRNA